ensembl:lncRNA
GGAAGCUUUUAAGUACCAAGAGUAAUUUUAAGCAGUUCUUUAUAAGCUGACUAUGCUUUUUGAUAAUAAAUGAAUGUAGGCUAUUGUUCCCUCAUUUCUUUGUAUUUCCCCCAUAUUUGUUCAUUAAAUUAUUCUGAUGAAAUAAGAGCUGCAAGAACUUUUUGCAGCAAAAAUCAGUCUCACUGUUUGCUUCAGGCCAACAUUUACUUUGUGUCUAUCAAAUAAUAGCCAGUGUUUGCCAUAAGGCACACUGCAAUCAAAACACCCGGCAGCUAUUAAAAAUAAAGAUAAUGAUGAACGCCAAAUAAAGACACACUUUAACAGCAAUAUAUGACUCAAAUCAUCUGUUUCCAAGUGAAUGGGUUUUUUUUUUUUUUGCACCUAGUUCAGGUUUGAAUUAUGUCCCCGCACAUUAACACUCAUCACACACUCUCGCACCUUUAAAAGCACAGCUAAGCAACCUUAAUCUAUUUGGACACCAACAUACGAUAACUGCAAUUCCACAAUGCUGUAAUGCCUCCAGAAGAGCAUCUUGGUCGACACACACCUGUAAAAGCGGAUGGGAGGGUGUAAGUUAAAUGUCGGCAAUACGCCGUUUAAAAUGUGUUUUUCGUGGCUGGAGGACGAAUCACCAUAUUAAAGCAUCAAGCUUCCAGAUGCGCGCGAACGCGGAGGCGUGAAUACACACUUGCCAUAUGAGCCCAUUAAUAACAGCCACCAGGAGCUGCGCAGCAAGAACGCCGGAGAACUCCGGAACAUUACCAGCACAACAGCAAUAAAACGUAAACAUUAUACUCACCUCUUUUGUGUUGACGAUACCUCUGACGUAUUUACCCAAAACUGAGCCGACACAUAAAAUACUGGACACCACGGCGAGUCCUAAUACUUUCUCCAUCUUCACCUGUCCACCGUUGCGUUUCUGCGCUCUCCUCCCGAUGCUGUGUGUGUGUGUGUGUGUGUGUGAGAGAGAGAGAGCAGGAAUGCUGGAGAUCUGCCAGACGCGCGUCUCCGUUCUUCGCCUCAAAACGCAUGCAUCCCCAGAAUUUUCUCCGGGAGCGCGCCUGGUAUCGCACACGCGCUGCCGAUAUUUUAUUACAACAUAACAUUACACAAAUAAGCAUAUUUCUAUCGAUUUAAGCCCUUCCUUUAUAGAUUUAAUACGCUUUAUUAGUCAUGUUUUUUUGCGUUCUUUAUUCCGCCACACUACAAAAGGAAGCUAAACACAGAGAUGCAGAGAAAAUAUUUAUUCAAAUAUAAAUCAACACAGGGAAAAUACAUACUGCAGAAAAAUACAGUACUCUCAGUUAUCGUUCCCACAGUCCUCCCCUUCUCAAAAUACUCUGUCGAGGAAAAAAACAACAUGAGAGUGUAAUUAUGAUCUCUCUAUACAAUAAAUCUAAUCUAUGCAUAUACAGUACAUUCCAAAUACACAGGUUUGCACUUAUGGUGUCUUUACAUGAGGAAUAAUAAUAACAACAACAAUAACAAAAAUAUCAACAACAAUAAUAAUUAUUAUUAUUACUAUUACUAAUAUAAUACUAUAAAUAUUAUUGCUAAAAUUAUAAAAUAAAUAAUAAACAAUAAAUUAUUGCUAUUAUAAUAAUAAUCAUAUAAUAAUUAAUAUAAUAAUUAAUAGUUCAUAUUAAAAAUAAUCACAUAAUCAUAAAGAAAACAACUCAGCCAGCUGAAACCUCCAUGUCACACUAUAUGUGACCCUGGACCACAAAACCAGUCAUAGGGGGCAUUUUUUUUUAAUUGAGAUUUAUACAUUAUACAUCAUGAAUAAAUAAGCUUUCAAUUGAUGUAUGGUUUGUUAGGACAAUAUUUGGCUGAGAUACAACUAUUUGAAAAUCUGGAAUCUGAGGGUGCAAAAAAAUAUUGAGAAAAUCGUCUUUAAAGAUGUCCAAAUUCAGUUCUUAAUGCAUAUUACUAAUCAAAAAUUAAGUUUUGAUAUAUUCACGGUAGGAAAUUUACAAAAUAUCUUCAAGGAACAUGAUCUUUACUUAAUAUCCUACUGAUUUUUGGCAUAAAAGAAAAAGCGAUAAUUUUGACCCACACAGUAUAUUGUUGGCUAUUGCUACAAAUAUAUCUGUGCUACUUAUGACUAGUUUCGUGGCCCAGGGUCAAAUAUGCUGCUGUUUACACUUAACUAUAAAGUGCUUAUUUGCAGAGAUUGUCCUGAAAACAUCAGGUCUAACUGAAUGCAAAAAGUUUGCCUGGGACAUAUUGUGCAGUCUGCUUGGAUUUUGUAUCACUCAAUGACGGCAGUGAAAAUGAGGAGAGAAUAGACAUUAGCACCCUUGCAAAUGAUACUGCAGUGGUCAAUACAGGCUGCACUUAAAGAGUGUAACAUCACCGUCAGUGGACUUCAAGAGGACAGGAGCUCAAAACCACUUGCAGCAAAUCAAUUCUGACAAAACAAAACACCAACCUACUGAUUAAAACUCCAAGUCAGUGACAGAUUGACUAUUAGUCUUGAGAACAGAUGUAAAAUGCAGUGACAUGACUCAGUGGGCUUGUGUCUCUGAGGGGAGAUGAUGCGGCACAGUUUCGCCUCAGUAACACGGGUAUAGCCAUUUAAACAGGACUAAAUUAACAUGGUGUUUUACAUAACACUCUUGAGAUGAAUGAGUAAUCUCUCUCCAAAAGGAGGCAGUUUGAGAGUCACACAUACAAAAAAACAAAAAGUGAAAAAAAGAAAAAAAAAAACAGGUGGAAAUGCUCAGCAGUGAAUUCAAGGUUACAUUGUCCAACCCAAAAUGCAAAAAGAAAAAAAAGACUCGACUGGAACGGAUAACCAGAGGGCGUCAGUGUCUUAUCAUUCCUGUCCUAGUUCUGGUUGUUUUAGUCAUGGUUCCAUGAAGGGACUACACACAAUGGCCUUCGCAUCUACUAGCACAAUGGCAUCGAGAAGCUUUUUCAUGCACCACUAUAACACAAAGUGCGACAAACAAGUUUCUGAACAUGCACAUACUGACUGAAACAGGAACCAUCUGACAAAAAUACCCAGAAGCACAAAUGACUGGACAUGUGUAACAUACGCACGUCAACAGAAUCUGCAGAGUAACCAAGAUUUGGUAUUUCAAAUCUGUCACCACAAAGGAGCAGCUCUGACACGGUGAAAAGAGCAAGCAAGCAAAUCUUUUGAUAUCGUGACACUCUUAUAAAAUAACUCUCAAAUGCUGCAAUCAGCAGAUGGAGCAUUGUUUUCUCUCAGCACAUAGCUCUGGAUUAAUCCAAUCACAGACACACCGAUAAAGAAGAGGCUUUUGCCGGGGAUAUAUAAAGUCCCAAAAGACAUGUCGCGUUGUGCCACUUAGCUGAGCAUAGCUUAAAAUGACAUUAAGUGGAGUUAUAACUCGUUUCAUAAUAAAGUUGACAAUACUUUAAAUAGGAUAUGUGCUCUGUAUAAACACACUCAGCAAAGCUGUGCACACAAAGGCCCAAACCUCCCAUAUAGCGCUAAUAAACUUCAUGGAGUGGCAAAAUGUUGGGUUUUUUUUUUUUUGGAGCGUCAAUAGAGUCAAUUAGUGCCAGAGAAAGAGGAAGCCUGAUUCAAAUAGAGACACGCUAUCACAGCAGUAUGCAUCACACAUGUGCAAGCUGAAAGAUUUCAUUGGCUCAAGGUUGCUGGGUGUUAAGGGAGUCUGCUUAAAAUACCUCUAGGACAGGCUGGGUGAGAACUGAAGAGUGUGCUCAAAAUGGGUCAGCGUGCACAGGGACAGAUGACACAAUUGUUAACAAACGGAAACAAACUGAAGACUGAAGGAACUAGGGAUAGGGAAAAGUAAUGGAAACUUGUGCUGACAGGUCAGAGAAUGACCCAGAGGUGGUGAUGGAGUGUCCAGUUUUUAAAUCAGUAUAUAUAUAUUCUUGUCUUUUUGACAAGCAAACUAAUCUAUAGUUUAACUUUAUGGAUAAAUGUGGUUAUAGUAUGAUUAUGAUAAACAAACAAAUCUUAACAAGUCAAAUUAUGCCACUUCAACACCACUUAAGACUUCAAAGGUAAAUUCAUCCAAACACUGAAAAUUCUGGCAUUAUUUAUUCACUUU